GAAAGAUAAUCUACAAAUUGUAAGUAAGAAAUUUAAGAAAAUAUAUAGUAUAUGUUAUAAAAUCUCAACCUCAUUUAUGUUUAAAAAUUUCCACCUUCUAUAUUUAAAAUAAUUACCUAAUGAAAAUAUUGUAUAACAAAACCAAACAAUUUAAAAUUAUGUUGUUUGGGUGAGGCUGUGGUCACAAAACUUCUUGACGGCGAAAAAUGAGGUGGAUUCCCAAGUUGUUUGGGUGCGGCUGCCUGGGCUACCAGAAGGAUAUUACUCGAAUUUUAUCCUGAAAGCGAUUGGACAAGCAAUUGGUCCAGUAAUCAAGAUCGAUGAAAAUACAGACACUGCUAGGAGGGGACGUUUUGCGAAAAUGGCCAUUUGUGUGGAUCUGAGGGAGCCACUUCUGUCCAAAGUCAAAAUAAAUGGACGGACACAGAGGAUCGAAUACGAGUCCUUCCAAAUGUGUGUUUCGGGUAUGGACUAUAUGGGCAUAAUGCUGCUGCAUUCCCGAAAGAUCGGGCACCGUCGCCGAUGGAGGAAACAACCAUAAGCACACAGGCGGCGAAUGAUCAAGAUCUCCAAAGAAGGGUUGAGGAAGAAAACUACGGGCUGUGGAUGCUAGUGGAAGGCCGACAGCGGCGUAAAGGUAGGAGUGCAGGGGACAGAACGGACGUGAAUCAUGGCGGAUCUGUGGGAGGAUCUCGUUUUAAUGUUUUAAGCGAGAUUCAGGGAGAAACAGACGCUGUUGAAGCAGUGGUUAAUGAAAAGAGAAGUGAAAAUGGAUCCAAAGUGGCGUUUGGGAAAAAGAGAAACGGCUUGAAGGCUAAAAGAAAGGGUGUGGUAGUUGCAAGUGAGCCAAAGAUGGGUUUUAAAGUAUUAAGACCCAGUACUAAUGUUGUUGGGUCUUGAGGUGAUGGAGGGCCGAAAAACAUGGGUGAUGGCUCAAUAAUGGGUCAAAGAAGUGGGCUUUUGGAGACAACCCAUUUGGCUUUCAAUUUGUUCAAUUUGUAGAGCGGUGAGGAUUAUUCAACCAGGGCAGGCCGGCUCUUGGGAGUGGAAAUGGGAAAUUUACAUUUGGAGAGACAAGUAUGGCUGAAGAAAGCACGGGGAAACUUCCGACGCCAAUGGAGGAGUUCGAAGCAACACGGCCAUGAGAAGUGGAGGGAAUUCGAAGCAAUCUUUGGUAGAGGUAGGGACGACCAUGAGGGAGAUUGUGGGCGACAUUGAGCGUGACAAUGGAUUGAGAAACUCAGCUGUUGGAGAAGCUAUGGCGGUUGAGGAGUUUGACGGAGCGAUGGGCGGGCAAGCCGAAACAAGUUGUUGAUUUGGUUUGUUACUUGGGUCGCUGCAUAAUUCCAUUAAUUUUACGGAUAUAAAGUUGAUGUUUUGGAAUUUCCAGGGUACUGGCCAUCCUAGAUUUCAUAGUUUUGUAAAGGAGUAUAGGAGGGAUUUUGCACUAGAUUUAUUUUGCCUUAUGGAAACCCGGUUAAGUGGAAAUAGAGCUGAUGAUAUAAUCAGUAAAUUAGGCUAUCAGAACUCUUUUAUAAUUGAACCAAUAAGCAAAGGGCGAUCAGUUUUCUGGUUUCAGCAGUUUAUGCUAGUCCUCAAGCUGCAAAAAGGAAAGAGUUGUGGAAAUUUCUAGAUUUGUUUGUUGAAUCUGUUAAUGAGGCUUGGUUUAUAGCGGGAGAUUUUAAUUCGGUUUUGAAUAGCUCGGAUAGAAAAGAGGGUGCAGUUUGUGUGAGAGCUGGUUGUGACCUUUUUAAAGGGUUUGUAUUCAAUCAUGGAAUCAGAGACGUGGGGGUUUUGAGUCCUCGCUUCACGUGGAGUAGAGGGAAUUUGUUUCAAGACUCAAUAGCGCUUUAUGCAGCUCGAAGUGGGAAAAUUUUUCACCAAAUUAUUCUAUUUGGCAUCUCCACAAGUUGAAAUCUAAUUAUCGAUCGAUCUUGGUUGCUCCUAGCAGUAAAUAACAAAAGGGUGGCCAACGAUCGUUUAGAUUUCUUGCCAAAUGGUUACUUCACUCGGAUUUUAGAGAACUUGUUAAAAAUCAUUAGAAGAGCGAUCUUGAGGUUGCCUCGAUUUAGGAGUAGGUCACAAAGGUGGUGCAGAAGUGGAAUAAGGAAAUUCGUGGUAAUAUUUUUGGGCGGAAAAAGGAGUUGGUUUCGGAACUUAGUCGAAUACAAAGAAUCUUGGAGGUUAGGUUGUCAUCACGGUUGAUCUCGUGUGAAAUCACGUACUGCUUGGCUAACAAAUGGAGAUAGGAAUACAAAGCUUUUUCAUAGUCGAAUGAUGACAAGGCGGAGAAUAAAUAAAGUUGAGGGAUUAAAAUUCGAUGAAGGGGAAUGGUGCUUUGAUGAUGAAAAUUUAAAGUUGCAUGCUAUCAACUUCUUCCAGAAGCUUUACAUGGCUGAGGAACUUGCAAUGGGGAAUUUUCCUUGUAGAGGUAUGUAAUCUAUGGCACCUCUGAAAGCAUCGGGUAUUAAUGGGUUCCACGUGAAGUUUUACCAGUCACAAUGGGAAACUAUCAGGGAAUCGAUUUGUUCGCUAGUUCGAAAGGUUCUUGGGGGGGAAGGUUUGGAUCCGAAGAUUACUAGAACUUUGAUCGACUCAAUGAUCGGAGGUCAUCUCUACGGUUUUGUAUAAAAUCAUCACUAAAACUAUAGUGAAUGGACUUUGACCAAUUAUGGCCAGUAUAGUUAAGCAAAACCAUGCAAGCUUUAUUGCAUGGAGGAGUAUUUCAGAUAAUAUCAUUAUUGCGUAGGAGGCCAUUCACAACAUGAAGACGAUCGAAGGAAGGAAUUGUUGGAUGGCUUUGAAGGUGGACUUGGAAAAAGCUUACGAUAGAAUUCGCCGAGGGGGGUUUAAAAGACACUUUGAUGGAAGCAGGAUUUCCACAUUGGUUAGUUAUGUGUGUUUACCCCAAACUUACAAAUCCUCUAGAAUGGUGAAGUUUCUCAACUGUUUUGUCCCACACGUGGAGUGAGACAAGGAGAUCCCCUUUCACCUUAUUUUUUUGUACUGUGUAUGGAGCGCUUUGGCCACCUAAUUAAGAGGGCAGUUGAAGGAAUGAGUGGAGUCGUCUUCUUUUAUUGAAGCAAGGAAGAUUAAUAGAAGUAAGACCCAGAUUUUCUUUUCCCAUAA